rnacentral:lncRNA from 1 species
CACUCCGGGCCGUGCGUGGCAGGCGUGCUAGGGCGCCGGCUGCCGCGGUACUGCCUCGUGGGAGACUCUGUCAACACCGCAAGCAGAAUGCAGACCACUUCCGAACCUGGCCGCAUUCAAAUAUCCGCUCAAACAGCGAACGAGCUGCCUGCAGGAAAAUUCAGAUUACGACGGAGAGGACUCAUAAAAGUCAAGGGAAAAGGAAUGAUGGAAACGUUCUGGCUGGAGGGUGAGGUGGAGGAGGACAACCAAGAUGAAGCCUUGCAGUUGUUCUCUGCGCUCUGUGGAGACAACUGAACCGUUCUCACAACUGAAGCAUCGGCUGAUUAUAUACCUACUCAUAUCGAAGCUACUCAUUCAUAAUACUCGUAAUAAUAUAAGUAGUUGUAAACGUUUUAUAAUAAGAGAAAGUUGCGAUAACUGUCGUUAUUUUGUAGUCAACAUGUAGGCUUUGGAUUGAAACCCGCCAUAGAUACAUACAUAUGGUCACGUCUAUAUCCCUUGCGGGGUAGACAGAGCCAAUAGUCUUGAAAAGA